GGUUAAGCGACUAAGCGUACACGGUGGAUGCCCUGGCAGUCAGAGGCGAUGAAGGACGUGCUAAUCUGCGAUAAGCGUCGGUGAGGUGAUAUGAACCGUUAUAACCGGCGAUUUCCGAAUGGGGAAACCCAGUGUGUUUCGACACACUAUCAUUAACUGAAUCCAUAGGUUAAUGAGGCGAACCGGGGGAACUGAAACAUCUAAGUACCCCGAGGAAAAGAAAUCAACCGAGAUUCCCCCAGUAGCGGCGAGCGAACGGGGAGGAGCCCAGAGCCUGAAUCAGUGUGUGUGUUAGUGGAAGCGUCUGGAAAGGCGCGCGAUACAGGGUGACAGCCCCGUACACAAAAAUGCACAUACUGUGAGCUCGAUGAGUAGGGCGGGACACGUGGUAUCCUGUCUGAAUAUGGGGGGACCAUCCUCCAAGGCUAAAUACUCCUGACUGACCGAUAGUGAACCAGUACCGUGAGGGAAAGGCGAAAAGAACCCCGGCGAGGGGAGUGAAAAAGAACCUGAAACCGUGUACGUACAAGCAGUGGGAGCCUCUUAAUGGGGUGACUGCGUACCUUUUGUAUAAUGGGUCAGCGACUUAUAUUCUGUAGCAAGGUUAACCGAAUAGGGGAGCCGAAGGGAAACCGAGUCUUAACUGGGCGUUAAGUUGCAGGGUAUAGACCCGAAACCCGGUGAUCUAGCCAUGGGCAGGUUGAAGGUUGGGUAACACUAACUGGAGGACCGAACCGACUAAUGUUGAAAAAUUAGCGGAUGACUUGUGGCUGGGGGUGAAAGGCCAAUCAAACCGGGAGAUAGCUGGUUCUCCCCGAAAGCUAUUUAGGUAGCGCCUCGUGAAUUCAUCUCCGGGGGUAGAGCACUGUUUCGGCAAGGGGGUCAUCCCGACUUACCAACCCGAUGCAAACUGCGAAUACCGGAGAAUGUUAUCACGGGAGACACACGGCGGGUGCUAACGUCCGUCGUGAAGAGGGAAACAACCCAGACCGCCAGCUAAGGUCCCAAAGUCAUGGUUAAGUGGGAAACGAUGUGGGAAGGCCCAGACAGCCAGGAUGUUGGCUUAGAAGCAGCCAUCAUUUAAAGAAAGCGUAAUAGCUCACUGGUCGAGUCGGCCUGCGCGGAAGAUGUAACGGGGCUAAACCAUGCACCGAAGCUGCGGCAGCGACGCUUAUGCGUUGUUGGGUAGGGGAGCGUUCUGUAAGCCUGUGAAGGUGUGCUGUGAGGCAUGCUGGAGGUAUCAGAAGUGCGAAUGCUGACAUAAGUAACGAUAAAGCGGGUGAAAAACCCGCUCGCCGGAAGACCAAGGGUUCCUGUCCAACGUUAAUCGGGGCAGGGUGAGUCGACCCCUAAGGCGAGGCCGAAAGGCGUAGUCGAUGGGAAACAGGUUAAUAUUCCUGUACUUGGUGUUACUGCGAAGGGGGGACGGAGAAGGCUAUGUUGGCCGGGCGACGGUUGUCCCGGUUUAAGCGUGUAGGCUGGUUUUCCAGGCAAAUCCGGAAAACCAAGGCUGAGGCGUGAUGACGAGGCACUACGGUGCUGAAGCGACAAAUGCCCUGCUUCCAGGAAAAGCCUCUAAGCAUCAGGUAACAUCAAAUCGUACCCCAAACCGACACAGGUGGUCAGGUAGAGAAUACCAAGGCGCUUGAGAGAACUCGGGUGAAGGAACUAGGCAAAAUGGUGCCGUAACUUCGGGAGAAGGCACGCUGAUAUGUAGGUGAAGCGACUUGCUCGUGGAGCUGAAAUCAGUCGAAGAUACCAGCUGGCUGCAACUGUUUAUUAAAAACACAGCACUGUGCAAACACGAAAGUGGACGUAUACGGUGUGACGCCUGCCCGGUGCCGGAAGGUUAAUUGAUGGGGUUAGCGGCAACGCGAAGCUCUUGAUCGAAGCCCCGGUAAACGGCGGCCGUAACUAUAACGGUCCUAAGGUAGCGAAAUUCCUUGUCGGGUAAGUUCCGACCUGCACGAAUGGCGUAAUGAUGGCCAGGCUGUCUCCACCCGAGACUCAGUGAAAUUGAACUCGCUGUGAAGAUGCAGUGUACCCGCGGCAAGACGGAAAGACCCCGUGAACCUUUACUAUAGCUUGACACUGAACAUUGAGCCUUGAUGUGUAGGAUAGGUGGGAGGCUUUGAAGUGUGGACGCCAGUCUGCAUGGAGCCGACCUUGAAAUACCACCCUUUAAUGUUUGAUGUUCUAACGUUGGCCCCUAAUCGGGGUUGCGGACAGUGUCUGGUGGGUAGUUUGACUGGGGCGGUCUCCUCCUAAAGAGUAACGGAGGAGCACGAAGGUUGGCUAAUCCUGGUCGGACAUCAGGAGGUUAGUGCAAUGGCAUAAGCCAGCUUGACUGCGAGCGUGACGGCGCGAGCAGGUGCGAAAGCAGGUCAUAGUGAUCCGGUGGUUCUGAAUGGAAGGGCCAUCGCUCAACGGAUAAAAGGUACUCCGGGGAUAACAGGCUGAUACCGCCCAAGAGUUCAUAUCGACGGCGGUGUUUGGCACCUCGAUGUCGGCUCAUCACAUCCUGGGGCUGAAGUAGGUCCCAAGGGUAUGGCUGUUCGCCAUUUAAAGUGGUACGCGAGCUGGGUUUAGAACGUCGUGAGACAGUUCGGUCCCUAUCUGCCGUGGGCGCUGGAGAACUGAGGGGGGCUGCUCCUAGUACGAGAGGACCGGAGUGGACGCAUCACUGGUGUUCGGGUUGUCAUGCCAAUGGCACUGCCCGGUAGCUAAAUGCGGAAGAGAUAAGUGCUGAAAGCAUCUAAGCACGAAACUUGCCCCGAGAUGAGUUCUCCCUGAGACUUAGAGUCUCCUGAAGGAACGUUGAAGACGACGACG
rnacentral:rRNA from 1 species